rnacentral:lncRNA from 1 species
UUGGCGCGGCCUUUGUCUCUGGCUCAGGCCGGAGCCUGAGAUCCAUCUCUACUGUCCCGCGUGUUGCCCCUCGGGAGCACUAGGUGACUUUGUCACAUCCUCUGUUGCCCUGAGAUCUGGAGGUACUGGGAAAUGCAUAGCUAAGAUGCCAGGACAUCCUGGAAACCAGGAAAUGUUUGUCUGCAUCUUGUUAUUGGGCCACAAGAACACACAGCCAGACCCAGUUUGGUCCAGGAACAACAUCUGGCAAGCUAGCCAAGAGUCACUGAAAUGGUGCUGCACUCAGUGGCCCGUGAUUGUGGCGAGAUGGUCAUUUGGAGACUCCCAGAAGCUGCUGGAUAAGAUUGUCCUGGGGACUCUCCCAGGGGCUAUUCCAUGUGCAAAAACCACAUGUCCCUCUCACCACUGGGGAAGAAUGGUGAUCAGGCAGGAGUGGAUGCACUCAAAGGGAAAAGUCUUUCUCUAGGACCUGGAAAUGAUUGCUCGGAAAUGUAAACAGCAAAAAAGUUAGAGCCCUAUCGCACAGCUUGCUCCAAGUUUCAAAAUUACCUUCUGUCCCUCCUGGACUUGGGACCAUUAUUUUUCCUUCAGAUAUGCCAGUCAGCAACCACAGAUGGCCUCCCCAAUUACCAGACUCACUCAGACAUUGCUGCCUUCUCCAGCCUCUUUAAACUUUAAAGGCCAGCAGAGAAUGCUAUGUUUCAGGAUGGUGAUUGGUGGUUUUCACUUUGGACCAUAAGCAUCCGUAUUGUGCUCACCUGCUGCUGUGUAAGACAUGCCUACUUCUGCUUUCACCAUGAUUACAAGUUUCCUGAGACCUCCCCAGCCAUGCAGAACCGUAAGUCAAUUAAACCUCCUUUGUUUACAAAUUACCCAGUCUUGGUUAGUAUUUUUAUAACAUUGUGGGAAUGGACUAAUACUGUCUGUUUUGUUAAAAGACUAAGUUUCAAUUGGGAGCCAAGAUGACUGACUAGACACAGCCAGGGGAAACAACUGACAAGACACUGAGACAUUGAAAUUUCCAUCCCAUUCUGAGCCUAUCUUCAGAUGAAAUGCAUUGCAAGUGGGCAGAGGGAGGACACAGAUGCUGGAAACCCUUCAUGGUGUACCAAGUACUAGGAACUUAAGUCCACUUUUUCUGAGCCCUGCAAAACAUCAGAACUUGCUCAGGGAUUGCCAUCAUUGUGAUCUAGACUG